rnacentral:lncRNA from 1 species
AAAUACUCAGUCAAUGUUGGUCAUCAUAUAACAAGAGUUUUACAGAUGAACAUAGAAAAUAUAGAAAUUCAGAAUUGAAAUAAAAUCCAAACAUGGAACAUCACAACAACAUUUUUAAGUCCUGAAGCUUCUAAUGGUGCACAUCCAGACAUAGAGGCAUGUUCAAAUUUACAAUAUUGCAAACAAUAUUUGACAUUUGACAUGUAGGGCAACAUGUAAAAAACCCAUUAUGCUAAAUUCAUAGACAGAAAUGUAACAUAGUUGCCAAGAGUUUUUGACAGUGGCAUGCUGUCAGAUGAUCAUUAAUCGAGAUUAGAGACGAUCUUCUUCAACCUGUCCAUCUGCAAAAU